AACGAACGCUGGCGGCAUGCCUAACACAUGCAAGUCGAACGAAGCCUUCGGGCUUAGUGGCGCACGGGUGCGUAACGCGUGGGAAUCUGCCCCUUGCUUCGGAAUAACAGUUAGAAAUGACUGCUAAUACCGGAUGAUGUCUUCGGACCAAGGAUUUAUCGGCAAGGGAUGAGCCCGCGUAGGAUUAGGUAGUUGGUGGGGUAAAGGCCUACCAAGCCGACGAUCCUUAGCUGGUCUGAGAGGAUGAUCAGCCACACUGGGACUGAGACACGGCCCAGACUCCUACGGGAGGCAGCAGUGGGGAAUAUUGGACAAUGGACGCAAGUCUGAUCCAGCAAUGCCGCGUGAGUGGUGAAGGCCUUAGGGUUGUAAAGCUCUUUUACCAGGGAUGAUAAUGACAGUACCUGGAGAAUAAGCUCCGGCUAACUCCGUGCCAGCAGCCGCCGUAAAAC
rnacentral:rRNA from 1 species